rnacentral:rRNA from 1 species
UGGGGAAUUUUGGACAAUGGGCGCAAGCCUGAUCCAGCCAUGCCGCGUGCGGGAAGAAGGCCUUCGGGUUGUAAACCGCUUUUGUCAGGGAAGAAAUCUUCUGAGUUAAUACCUCGGGAGGAUGACGGUACCUGAAGAAUAAGCACCGGCUAACUACGUGCCAGCAGCCGCGGUAAUACGUAGGGUGCAAGCGUUAAUCGGAAUUACUGAGCGUAAAGCGUGCGCAGGCGGUUUUUGUAAGACAGAGGUGAAAUCCCCGGGCUCAACCUGGGAACUGCCUUUGUGACUGCAAGGCUUGAGUGCGGCAGAGGGGGGAUGGAAUUCCGCGUGUAGCAGUGAAAUGCGUAGAUAUGCGGAGGAACACCGAUGGCGAAGGCAAUCCCCUGGGCCUGCACUGACGCUCAUGCACGAAAAGCGUGGGGAGCAAACAGGAUUAGAUACCCUGGUAGUCCACGCCCUAAAACGAUGUCAACUGGUUGUUGGGAAGGUUCCUUCUCAGUAACGUAGCUAACGCGUGAAGUUGACCGCCUGGGGAGUACGGCCGC